ACAAGUUAUGUUGGUUAUUCAUGUGAUUCUUAAUUCUUGUUCCUGCACUAAGCUUCGCCAUAGCUUCCCAUGCUAUCGGCCCGGUUUUCUGUUUAUUCUUGUUUUGGUCUGCGUGUAUUGACGGUGUAUGAUUUAUGAGAAAUAAAUCAUCCCCCCUACCUUAACGUUGUCCGUUCUGCAUCUGGGAGGAACGACCCCGCAUCAUAAAACGGCUGUGAAGACGCACAAUGUGAGGCACCUGUUCUCCGGCCUCCUGGUGGUAGAGGGCGCUAGUGAUCCCAGAGAUCAUUCUUGCACUACUCGGCUAGGCCUGGGGACAUCUGAAGCCGGUGGCGACCAUCAGGGCAAAGUUGCGACGAAAGAGUGUGUCGAUGUUGAGAUAUUAAGCU